UCGGAUAUGGUGUAACGGCUAACAUUAGCGCCUCUCAUUCCAACUGGUCGAUGCUUACGCGCUAGCUCGGGGUUCGAUUCCCCGUAUCCGAA